UACGUAGGGUGCAAGCGUUAAUCGGAAUUACUGGGCGUAAAGCGUGCGCAGGCGGUGAUGUAAGACAGAUGUGAAAUCCCCGGGCUCAACCUGGGAACUGCGUUUGAAACUACAAGGCUAGAGUGUAGCAGAGGGGGGGUAGAAUUCCACGUGUAGCAGUGAAAUGCGUAGAGAUGUGGAGGAAUACCAAUGGCGAAGGCAGCCCCCUGGGUUAACACUGACGCUCAUGCCACGAAAGCGUGGGGAGCAAACAGG
rnacentral:rRNA from 1 species